CAGUCGCCGCGGGAAUACGUAGGGUGCAAGCGUUAAUCGGAAUUACUGGGCGUAAAGCGUGCGCAGGCGGUUUUGUAAGACAGAGGUGAAAUCCCCGGGCUCAACCUGGGAACUGCCUUUGUGACUGCAAGGCUAGAGUACGGCAGAGGGGGAUGGAAUUCCGCGUGUAGCAGUGAAAUGCGUAGAUAUGCGGAGGAACACCGAUGGCGAAGGCAAUCCCCUGGGCCUGUACUGAGGCUCAUGCACGAAAGCGUGGGGAGCAAACAGGAUUAGAUACCCGCGUAGUCCCUGUCUCUUAUAC
rnacentral:rRNA from 1 species